UCCCAGACUCCUACGGGAGGCAGCAGUGGGGAAUAUUGCACAAUGGGGGAAACCCUGAUGCAGCGACGCCGCGUGAGUGAAGAAGUAUUUCGGUAUGUAAAGCUCUAUCAGCAGGGAAGAAAAUGACGGUACCUGAUUAAGAAGCCCCGGCUAACUACGUGCCAGCAGCCGCGGUAAUACGUAGGGGGCAAGCGUUAUCCGGAUUUACUGGGUGUAAAGGGAGCGUAGACGGUGCAGCAAGUCUGAUGUGAAAGGGCGGGGCCCAACCCCGGGACUGCAUUGGAAGCUGUUGAACUGGAGUACAGGAGAGGUAAGCGGAAUUCCUAGUGUAGCGGUGAAAUGCGUAGAUAUUAGGAGGAACACCAGUGGCGAAGGCGGCUUACUGGACUGUAACUGACGUUGAGGCUCGAAAGCGUGGGGAGCAAACAGGAUUAGAUACCCGUGUACG
rnacentral:rRNA from 1 species